UGGUUUUGUAAUGAGAAUGAGAGAGAUAGAAAUCUGAGAGUGACAUGUUUAUGCAGCUCAAUCCUAUCUUCCCAACCGUUUCAUUACUGCUAAUAUCAAUUACAGCUCCCACUUUCACUACAAUAUUACUUUCAUUCUUACUUUGUGCCAAUAUUCCACCCAAAAGAUUAACUAGACACCAACAAGUAACCAUGAAUUUCAGAAUUAGAUUAUCCUUCUUCAUGAUAUCGAUCUUAAUUGGAGUAUAUAUAUAUAUAUAUAUCCUCUCUAUGUCUUCUCAUACAAGCAUAUUUAUAGUCGUCCAUUGAAAAGUAUAUAUAAACACCCACAUCCACACAUAUUUCUCGGCUAACCCUUUUCCUUGUCAAAGGCGAGUUUAGAUAUUUCCAAUUUAAUUCACACUUCUAAUUGGAGAAAUAUUGGCAAAUAAAAUAAAAUAAUACUAAAAUAUGUGAGUUCCAGCUACUAGGGCUCUGUUCAAUAAAAAUAACAAAUAAUUGAUAAGAUAGCUGACAACUCAUAGGUUAUAGUUGAUAGCUAGCUGAUAAUUGAUAGCUUAUAAAUUAUAACUGAAAGUUGAUGAUUUGUAGCUGAUAAACUAAUUAAAAUUUUUGGUAAAAUUAGUUGUUCAACUAACUUAUUAAUAUAGAAUGAUAUAAAAGAACAUUCUUAAUUCAUAGCAAAAUUUAUAUUUAGGAAUUUAGGAGUAUUCAUUAAUAUUAAAUGUUUAGAAUUUAGGAAUUUAAAUUUAUUAAUUUAAUAUAUUUUUUAUAUAUUAUUAAAAUAUAGAGAGUACAUCUCUAAAAAAAAUAUCAAGAGUACAAGAUUUAGACGUAAAAAAGAAAAAGAAAACACGACAAUAAAAUAUACAGAGUUCAUUGAUAGCUAAUGUUUUGUCGGAGAGUGUUUCGCUAAUGGUACAAUUUCAUAUGUUUCAAAACCUGUGAGUUUAUGAAAAUUGAAAGAAUGUAUUGAACAAUACUUGAGGUGAUACCACACUUGUAAUUUAUUCUUGUGUUUAGUAAAGUUUGGGAAAUAAAUGUAACGUGUUUUUGUCCUGACUAGUGCUUACCUACAUAUAUAUAUAUAUAUAUAUUCAAUACUAGAUUUUUUUUUAAUUUUUUUUUUAGGGAAUACUAGAAUUAUUUUUCAUUUUUGCAUUUUUCUUUUAUUGAUUGAUCUACACCGGGUAAUUUGAAAAUGCACAAGUAGCAAAAGACUUUCAGAAGUAGUUUUCUAUUUAUUGUAUAUGUUGAUCAUUAACUAAGUUUGAGGGGGUUUGUUGAAAUACCUGCUGGAUCAUUAAUUCUGUCUCAAACGCGUUUUUUAUGUACGUCACAUUUACCCUCUUUGUAAAUUUAGAUGUGUAGAAGAGAUAUAGUGGGGCAUGUAUUUAAUGAUAGCUUAAGCCUGAAUAAAAAAAGAUAAAAUAAAGUUAACUUGUUUUUUUAUAAACAAUACUCCCUCCGUCCCUUAAUAAAUGAUCCAGUUGACAAUAUAUAUUAUUGACUUGACAUAUUUUGAUCAUACUUUUCUACUAAUUCACAAAGAUAAAUAAUAUCAUGUAAGAUUGUUAGAUUUGUCUCGAUGAGUAUUUUUAAAAUAUUAAAUUUUUAUAUUUUUUUUAGUAGAGAAUUGAAGAUAUCAAAGAUAAAACAUAUGCAUUGGUAUGUAUGUCAGAAUCAACUAAAUCACUUAUUUAGGGACGGAGGGAGUAAGCUAUUUUCAUUUGUUCAAUAAAAAAAGAAGCUAUUUUCAUAAGCCUAUAGAAAUAAACUGAAACAAUUUAUGGACAUGUCGUAAGUUAUGUACUUCUUUUUCAGCUUCGAUCUAUAGCGAGUGAUGAGAUGGUUAAUAAGCUUCUUCAACUAAAUGCAUACCAGAAAUCAAGAAAACUUGGAAAGCUUGUUGAUAUAGUUUAUCAGGAAUGAAUCGAAUUUAUGUUAUGUAACAUGGUUUAUUUCAUUGCAGUCACGAAAACCAAAGACACUUCUUUUAAUCUGAAGAGUUCAUGCCAUGAAAAAUUCUUGUUUAGGAGAAGAAGCAGAAGAAAAUAUUUGCAUCUGAAAAGUUCAUACCAUUAACAAGAAAAGUCUGUUAGCUUUUGCAAAGGCACAGAAGCAAUAAGCUCAAGACUGAAAAUUAAGGUUAAAAAUGGUGGAGAAGAAAGAAGAAAAAAUCAAAAAAUUAGAGAAGACAACAAUAUUUUGUGAACAAAGUACUAAAAGCUAAGAUACUUUGAUACGUUAAAUUUAAGCAUACACUACAAAUAUAUAGAGUCAAGCCAUAAGCUUGCUUGUAAGACUAAACAUAAAAUCUACACUAAAUCUACUUUAAACACUAGUCAUCAUUACCUAAAAACCAUAGACAUCAUUACCUAGGACUCUUACUUACCAAAUAAACAACAAUCUAACUAUGACACUUAAACUUAAACUUAAACAAGCAACACAUUAAUUAUGACAGAAAAUAACAACACAAUUAAUUAUUAAAUCAGAAAAAUAUCAAUCUCCAACAAAGUCUUCAAACAUUCGUUCAAUCAGAGUAGCAAGGUUGCCACAAAUUGUUUUCCUUCACGAGAGUGUACAUUCUGAAUGGAUAAGUAUUCGAGAUUGUUUAUAUUAUUACUAAAUGUUUUUAAUGUGUCCCUUUUAGGAGUAAUUUUCAAGUUUCAUUGGCAGAGGGGACGGAUGUAAAGGGACAUUGUAUCCUAGAAGAUGAUCAUUAAUGGAUGUAUGAUAGGUUUAAUUUGUUUAUGGAAGCUCUGAAGCAUUCUUUUAUAAAGUAAAAGGGAAAAGUAACACAUGAAGACUAAUCUCUUUAAGCGCUACAAUGAAUAACAGAUUAUUUAACUUCAUUUGAGGCUUUUUGUUAGGAAACAUGGUAUUGAUGAGAGUAAAUAUCUUAACAAAAUGAAUUAAUUGAAUAAAAGAAUAUCUUGAUAAUAACAAGUUUAAUCUACUUGAGUGAGGCACUUGAAUUUCAUAUAGAUAGAUUUAAUGUGAAUGCAAUGUUGUCAGUAAAGUUCCAAGGAAUAACAUAUAGAUUUGGAAUUGUAAACAAUCAGGAAAACAAAGCAAACCUUUGAGUGAAAUAAAAUAAAUAAGGUAAGCAUAACAUUAGUGUGAUCCGUUCUUAAAGAGAAGGACAAAGAGGUUGGAAUUGUAUAUAAAGAGAUAGGUAGAGAGAGACAGAAGAAGUCCAACAUCGUUUAAAGUCAAUACACACAGCCAGAAAGUUCAAAUCGGGUUGUGCUUGCAGCUUCCCAUCAAAUCAUUGAGCAUGUUCUUGUAUGUGUCACUUUUUGCAAGUGAGACUUCAAUAUCAUGCUGGAUUAUUUGAUUUAAUUUUAAUGCAAACUUAUACCAAUUUUAAAGAUAAGUUCACUGUUUUUUUAUGACAGAAAAACUAAGACUUUAUCUAAGUUUAGUACUGUUAUCAAAUUCAUACUAAACACAAAUUUCAUUUCCAUCCACCUUUUCUUUUGUUGAAUGUCACAUUUCAUUUGUUUUCUUCACAUACAAAAUUGCUAACAAUGUUUUGCACUUGGCAUAGGUUGAAUUGAUGGGGGUAGUCUAACAUUCAUAUUCCUACUCUACUCCCAUACAAGGUCUUGAUCACCAGCGACAGUUCUCAUUACUUCUUGUUGAAGAUGAGAAGAUUAAUAUCAUGAUAACACAAUCCAUGAUGAAACGAUGGAGCAGAAGCAGUGCGUGCGGUCAAGCGCUGCUUGCACUUAUGAUUUGGUUCUGAUGGUAAUUUAUGAAUCUCAGAAUUGUAUCUUUUUUCAUUUUAUCUCUGAAUAAUUUGAAUAUAUUAAACUGUGUUAAAAAUUUCAAGCAAUGCUGCUUAUUAAUAUAUUAUAUUAUGAUCAUGAUUUCAACAAUUCAAUUGAUGGUUGCACUUUACAGGUUGUGUGCAUGCCAGUUAUGGACGAUCUUCACGCAACAAACUGAUUCGGUCUUUGCACUUGCAGGACACAUGCAAUUGGGAUGCUGCAAAAAAUGACGGAAUCGAGCAAAGUUAAGAAGAUCCAGAUUAUAGAUUAUGAAUGUCAUGUUUCAUCUACAAAGGAAAUUCCUAUUGCUGCGGUGAGCUCUAUAAGACAGAACUAUUAACAUGUUAACUAGAAAAUAACUUACCUCUUUUAAAUUUUUUAUUGAAUUAUAUAAACAACUAUACACAUCCUACACAAAAUAAAUUGCAUCCUUCAUAUGAAUGCCUUUGGGAAGUAAAAGAAUAAUUGCCUUGUAAGAUGACAGCAAAUGCUUUGUCCGAGUGCUGAAGAGUGUUCUGCUAAUGGUACGGACUCAUAUGUUUGAAAACCUGUGAGUUUAUGAAAAUUGAGAGAAAGUAUCGAAUAAUACUUAAGGUGAUACCUCCCUUUUAAUUUCUUCUUGUAUUUAGUAAAAUUUAGGAAAUAAUGUAUCGUGUUUUCGUCCUUGACUAGCGCAUACCUUUGUAUAUCUUCAGUACUAGUAUUAUUUUUCAUUUUUGUUUUUUUUUUUUCUUCUAUUGAUUGAUCUACACUUGGUAAUUUGAAAAUGCACAAGUAACAAAAGACUUUCGCAAGUAGUUUUUUGUUUAUUGUAUAUGUCGAUCAUUAACUAAGUUUGAGGGGGUUUCUCGAAAUACCUGGAUCAUUAAUUUUGUCUCAAACUGAUUUUUUAUACAUCACAUUUACACUCUGUGUAAAUGUAAAUGUGUACUAGUUUUUUCUUCUUUCUGAAAUGAAAUGUAAAUGUGUAGUUCUGUAGAGAUAUAGUGGGGCAUGUAUUUAAUGAUAGCUUAAGCCUGAAUAAAAAAAUAAAAAAUAAAAUCAAACUGUUUUUUUAUAUAAGCUAUAAACUAUUUUCGUAAGCCUAUAGAAAUAUGCUGAAAACAACAUAUUGACAUGUAAUAAGUUAUUUCCGUAAGCUGUCUCAAACCAUCUGUCAUGUGCUUAUGUUAAUAGAUAGUUCAAAUAAGUCAAUCCAAGCUGACCCUUGAUGAGCUAUCGGAACUGUUAUAUAAAAUUAAUCUUGAAUCAAUACAAUAAUUAGGAGCUUGAUGUUACAAUUAUAGAUGAUCUCAUGUUGCUUGGGAGUUAAUUUCACAGUUGUUCACAGGGGAAACUUCUGGAUUAGUAAUUUGCAUGACAUCCAUAUCUAUGUUUUGACUAAAAUCUCCAUAGAAGGAAACAUUUGAUUCAGUUUGACUAAAUGGACUAGGUGGAUAAGGUGUGCCUGGAGAGACCUCAACAGCACCUAAAUCAUCAUGAUGAUAAGGAUUAUUACUGCUUUCAUUUAUAUUUUCUGUUUUCUUGAAUGUGUGACUACUCAAGUCUCUUUGAUCAAACAUCCUAAACACGACUUCAAUUCGUCUCCAUAUUGAAUUACUUGGAUUAUUGUUUAACCAAAUGUGUUUGUGCUGAUGUAGAAAUGUUACCACAAAGAUUAGGAGUGCUAAUAGGGAAGCAAUCCCUGCUAUCAGAAAAAGACCCCAGAAGCUUUCAAGGCCAAGACUAUUAUUAGAGGAAAUUUCUGUAUUAGAAUCUAGACAACGACUUUCUUUGAACCAUGCAUUCUCAAUUGUUCUCAUUUUGCCUCCUUGAGUCACAUUUAGGAUUGCCCUUGAAAUGUCUGCUACCAGAGGUGAACCUUUUGGGAAUGCCUACAAAUUCACCCCCACAAAAUUCAGGUCAGUACUCAUAAGCAAUGUUUUACAAACUGAACCGUGAAUCGAACCGAUGUGAUUUCAAGAUUAUAGUUCAAUUGGUUUAAUCACAAGUGAACCGGAUGACAAAUAAAUGAACAAGUAAAAUAGUAUUUAAAAUGUAAAAAGAAAUAAAUUAAAAAUAUAAAAACACAAACUGGUUGAACCAAUCAUAGUUGGACUGGUUCAGUUCAACUAAACUGCAAUGUAAUUGGGAUCAAAACAACUUGUGAGCAGACCGGUUCAAUUAAGUUCCCAAUUCAACUCGUUGAAUCAGCCUGUUCCGUCUGGAUUUUGCAAUGUUGCUCACAAGGGAAAAUUAAAGACGAUAUUACAUUAGGGAGAGAGAGUUAACAGAACUUACAUAGCCAAAACCACCAGUUUUAAAUCUUGGUUCAACCAUGGCAUACUUUGAAGAAGAACAACUAUAAAUUCCAAGAAAGUGCUUGACAUAGGGAACUUCAUCAAAAGCAGCAUCAAUACCACCAUUUGCACUUCCUUUUAUGAAAAGCUCGUUACAUUCUUUAGGUGAUUGAUAGGUAAUGAGCUGAAAAUCUUGGAAAUUCAUUUCCUUCAAGAUUCCAUAAACAAAAGAACCUUUGAGAUAGCCGACAUUCAUCUUAUUCUUUAGAAGUUGGUUAACGUCUGUAAUAGCUGGCCUUAGUUGUUCAACUGUUAAAAGUGAAGUCAAGCUUGCAGUGUAACUCUGAACCAGAAUUAGAACCACAAAAACCCAUACAACCACCACAAAUCUUGCCAAGUUACUCACUACUCUCUCUCCUGUGAUUAAAAUGAGAUACUUAACCUUAAGAGCGUGUUUGAACUUACUUAUUUGAACUUAUCUACUGAUGUAAAUACUUGUGAUAUUAUUAAAGAGAGCAUGCAAACAACAUAUGACAUGUCCAUAAGAUAUUUUCUCUAGAUUUCUACAAGCACUCCAUGAUAGCUUUUGAAAAUAGCUUAUAACUUAAAUGAAAAAAGUUUAUCUUUUGUUAUACAACAACAACCAAGCAUUAUCCCACUAAGUGGGAUCAACUACAUGGAUGAAAUAAUGUCAUAAUGUUAUAUCAUAAACCAUAUUUGAAUCCAACUCAUCAAUAUCUAAAUCUUUCCUAAUGUAGAAAGUAAGUAAAUUUUGAUUUUUUCAUCAAUAUCUAAAUCUUUCCUAAUGUAGAAAGUAAGUAAAUUUUGAUUUUUUUUAACUCUAAAAUUCUAAGUUUGAAAUCUCAAUUGUUCGAUCUUGAUCAAAUAAUCAUUGAUGUGUGAAAUUUAUGAAUGCAACAAAUCCAAAUCUAAGCACUUAUAUGUUAAAUGCUUCAUAAAGUAGUUUACCCAAACAUGAUCUAGUCUAAGUGCAUAAUAGCUAAUGAAUUAUACUUUGUGUGUGUUUAAUGAGUGAGACUUACUUUGAGCAAAGACCAUAGUUGAAAAGGAAAACCAUAAGCUAGUACCAAUCUGAUGAGAGGUAGGUCCCCUGAAAUCUUUGUUUAUUCUAUGUUCAAGGACCCAUACAACAAAUCCAAUGAACACAAAUGAACAAGCUGUUGUUACCCAAAGAUCCCACGUGAGUGGUUUCAGAAAGGCCCAUGCAUUUUUCUUUCUGUUGUCUUUCAUUAGAACAACCAUUGUCACACCAGAUUCUGUGUAUGGCAUGGUGAAAUCAACAUAGUCGGACCUGUUCGCGAUGAUUGUUACAUCCCCCACCACCGCAUCAAAGUUCUGUCAAUCCAAAAUCAUUUUUUAUUCUUUUCAUUAUAGAAAAGCUAGAACUAAGAAAUGCAGUAAAUAACAAAAUGGACAUCAAAAUUGUAAUCAUAGGUCAAAAAAGUUUCUGAUUUUUGUGAAUUGACAAAUACAUUCAUGAAAUUGUAAAAUGUAAUUCAAAAUGGUCCCUCCGUCAAAAUUUGAUGUUAGAAAUUAUGACGUGGUGCGUUAAUUGAACAUGCCGCAUUGUAUGUUAUCCUGCGUCAAUGUAAACUCAUCAUGGACUAAUUAGCCUACGAAAUUUAGGUCAUUUCAAAAACAAAUCGUCACUAAUUCCAAAUGUUCAAAAACUAACUACAGACAAAUUAGUCAUUGGGAGAUCUAAAUUUCAUAGGCAAAUAAGUCGUUACUCCAUAGUGUAUUGAAAAUGAUGUAUGGUCAACAUGAAGGAGUGACAACUUUUUAUUAUUUCAAAGGAUGUGUUUUUAAAUUUUUCAAAAGUAGGGACUAUUUUGACCAUUUCUUACAAUUUCAUGAACUAAUUUGAUUAUUUAUUUAUGCAAUAAAGAGGGAUCUUGAUAUGAGAAAAAGAGAUUACCCCAUAAUAAAGUUGAGUGAUCAAAUCAUUGUAGGUUCCUGCCAUCUCACCAUCAGACUUUGCAAAUGGAACAAAUUCAUAUGGCAAUGCAUAAGGCAACACUUCCACCACAGCUUUGAAGACAUCAAUGCAGAAGCCAGUGGCUAGUGUUGAAUUAGUACUAUGAUCACGCGUUAUAUGCAAAAAUUCAGUGUAGUUAUCUCCAUUUUUCACCGGAACCCCUAUUCUCAAUUUCUUCCCAAUAGUAGGAAUUUCCCAUCCCUUUGGAAUAGAGUUCAUAUCCCCUGGCCACAUGAUUAAUCCAAGAUCAUUUUUAGAAGUAGAAUAUAUGCUAUUAUUGCUUCUUAUUAGGCCUUCUGUAUCCAAAUUUCUAGACAACCCUUUAUCUGGUGUCCAAAAUCCAACUCUCUUUUCACCAUCACCAAUCACAUUAAUUAUUUCAUAUAUUGAUGCUUGUAACUUCCCACCAACAACAUUGAAAUCACCACUAAGACCAUUAAAUCUAGUGUUUGACAAAGCUUCACUCAAUUUCUCACCAUUUUGUGAAAUACCAAACUUUUCAAAAUUAGGCAUGUAAUAAUUGCUUGAUGUUUUACUCUCAUUGUAAUCAAAUUUGGUGUUUCCAAUUCCAACUUUCUCAAUAGCCAUUGCUAAUGCAAUUGUAGCAUCAUAAGCCCAUAUUCCAAAAAUGUUCAAAUUUGUGUCAACAAGUUUUGGAUUGUCACUUAUGAAUUUCCUUUUCCAUCUAACCCUAAAAUCAUCUAGUUUUUUUGUUCUAGGAAUAUAAGUCCUAAGACCCAACACUCCUUCCAUUGAUUCCCUCACAUUAAAACUCAAUGAAUUAAACAAAUUGGCCAUACCAUCGGUUACUAUCCAAACAUAGCCUUGAUUCAUCAUCCCAAUUUUUUUUGCUAAGGUAAAAAGUUUAGAGCCAAGACUUGGUGACAUGUGCACAAUAAAUACUCUAGCGGGUAUAGUAGUCAUUAUUUUAUAAAGUUCUUGAGUGAUAGCAUCAUCAUUGGCUGAAAGAGAAAUUGCACUUAGAUAGGGAACUUGUAUAUAGGCUUGUUGUAGAACACUAGUUAAAUAAGGAAUAAGUCCUUCACCAAAACUAUUGUCUACAUAAAUGGGAACCACUUGUUUCCAUCCAAAAGCUUGGAUAAUUGAGGUGAUUGCUUUAACUUGAGUUGAAUCAUUUUGUGAUAUUUGAAAGAAGUAUGAACUUUGAAGUGAUGCAAGUGAAGGGCUUGUUGCUGAAAAUGUUACAAUGGGCACGUGAGCUUUGUCUCCUAGUUGAAUCACGAAAUUUGUUUCUAUUGUUGUUAUUGGCCCCAUUAUGGCUUGCACUUUUUCAUUUUUAAUGAGAUCCAAAGCUGUUCAUCACAAAUUUAAUGAUUAUGUAUUCUAAUUGAAUCAUCCGUAUUUUGUCAUCUUUAUUAUCUAUAUGUUUACAUCAAUAAUAUGUUUACUCCCCAACCCACCCAAUAAGAGAAAGAGAAAUGAAAUGGGAGACUUGUAUUGUGUGUGGAACUGGUCAAGCGAAUAAAAGAGUGAUUUUGAGUUUCAACAUAAAAAAUACCUACUAGCCUAAUAAUAAGUCAAAGUCCAUAUAUUAUUCAAGAAAGAAACUAUCAAAGUCGAAGUACAUUAUUAUACUAGUAUAAUAACUACGCACUUUGAAUUGAAUCGUACGAAUCAGAAGAAAAUACUAGCCAGUAGUAGACGACAAGAAAAGAAACUCAUUCAUCCGUGAACUGAAACUCAUUCAUAUUUAUCACAAUUAUUAAGGAAAAAUAUAUGUUAGUUAAUUAAAUUAUGUGUUAACCAAAAAAAAGGUCAAACUAUGAAGAAGCAGAUGUCAAUGAAAUCCAGAAACAUAUGAUUCAAGUUAGAAGAUGAAAACAUAAAGAAACCAGAGAGGUGCAAUUAGUAAUAAUUACCGUGUGCAGCGGCAGAGACGACGUCCUUAUGGGAAUCCCUAAGGAUGAGUUGAAUUCUGGUUUUGUAAUGAGAAUGAGAAAGAUAGAAAUCUGAAAGAGACAUGUUUAUGCAGCUCAAUCCUAUUUUCCCAACCGUUCCAUUACUGCUAACAUCAAUUACAGCUCCCACUUUCACUACAAUAUUACUCUCAUUUUUAGUAAUUUGUGCCAAUAUUCCACCCAAAAGAAUAACUAGACACCAACAACAAACCAUGAAUUUCAAAAAUAUUGGAUUAUACUCUAUGUUCAUG
rnacentral:lncRNA from 1 species